AAGGAUGUUUUCUCCUUGUACAACUAGGCAAGGAAAUUGUCCGUGGCUGUUGUCUGAGAAGGUCUAUGUGACAGAGCACUGCAUUCUUAUAUUCGUUAAGAAUGAUGUCAUAGGAAAGAAGUGGAGUUUCCCUAAACGUGUUUUCCUAGCACUAUGUUUCAGAUGCCAUAGAAACAAACAGAUCAAAGUGGUAACACGUCUCCAGACACCAGGCUAGUGGCAAAGAGGGUUCCAGCCAAGUAGCAGAGGGAGCUGGCUCUGAAAAGGGACGAUACUGCUGUGCAUGAGGCCCUGGAGGACGACCUGGAACAGCUGCUGCCAUUCGGAGAGGUGGGGGCAGGGAGAAGAUCUGCUGCGGUGCCACCAACUAGCGAACAAGUUCCUUCCCUGGCCCCUUUCUUGUCACCCAAUUGAUAAAAAACAGUUUAUAAACAAAAACACAUUUAAAUUAGAUCCAUGUCAGACUUGAUUGGGGUCAGAGCAGCUCUUCUGUUUUUCUUGGACCAUGACAAUAUUGGAUUAUGAAAGAACUGUGAUUGUGAAAUUGAAGUUUCCUAGCAGUUUGUUCUACAGACAGUCAAGUUCAGUCUUUAUGACCAUGACCCUGAAGGAGACAGAGUUCUGCUCAUGCUGAACUUCUCUUGAGGAAUAGACUUCUACAGCAGGAAGCUGACUUGAAAAGGUCAUGCCCCAUCCAGUGACCAGGCAGGAGGAUGGGGAGGCCUCCCGCCUGGGUGCCAGAAAAACAAACAAAAGUGACAAUGUAUCUUCAAACACAUGCCUCUGGCUCAGAGAUGGUCUGGCCAACUAGCAGAUGGAACCCAUUUGGAAUGAGACAAUUCUGAAUGGCUCCAGAGCUCACCAGGGAUCUGUGGAUACCUUUUGUGUGACUGAAAGUCUGUUCCGCCUUUCUCUGUGCCCAGUCUGUUUCUUGCAUUCCAUGUAGCACCCAUUUUGUUCCACCUAUAAACCCACCGCUCCAAAAA